GUAGGUGGCAAGCGUUGUCCGGAAUUAUUGGGCGUAAAGCGCGCGCAGGCGGUUCUUUAAGUCUGAUGUGAAAGCCCACGGCUCAACCGUGGAGGGUCAUUGGAAACUGGAGAACUUGAGUACAGAAGAGGAAAGCGGAGUUCCACGUGUAGCGGUGAAAUGCGUAGAGAUGUGGAGGAACACCAGUGGCGAAGGCGGCUUUCUGGUCUGUAACUGACGCUGAGGCGCGAAAGCGUGGGGAGCAAACAGGGAUUAGAUACCCUGGUAGUCCACGCCGUAAACGAUGAGUGCUAAGUGUUAGGGGGUUUCCGCCCCCUUAGUGCUGCAGCUAACGCAUUAAGCACUCCGCCUGGGGAUACGGCCGCAAGGCUG
rnacentral:rRNA from 1 species